ensembl:lncRNA
AUAUAACCAAUGAAGAAUUCUAAAGAACAGGAAUAAAAGAUGUCAUAAAAAGCAAUUAGAUAAGAAAGAAGUUCUCUCUCUGGAUGCGAUGGCAUUUUCCAUUACAAGUCUUUUGGAAUUAUCUUCGAUCACCACAUUGCUGAGAAAAGUUAAGUCUAUCAUAGUUGAUCAUCACAUAAUCUUGCUACUUUUACUGUGUACAAUGUUCUCUUGGUUUUGCUUGCUUCACUCAAUAUUAGUUCAUGUAAAUCUUCCCAGGCUUUUCUGAAAUCAACCUGCUUAUCAUUUCUUAUAGAACAAUAAUAUUCCAUUUACACUCAUAUACCAUAAUUUUCUUUUUUAUAAAAGGUUUUUAUUUUUCAAAACACAUGCAAAGAUAGUUUUUAACAUUCACUCUUGCAAAACUUUAUGUUCCAAAUUUUCUGUUUCCCUCCUUCCAUCCUGUAAAUAGCAAGUUAAAUAUAGGUUAAAAAUGUGCAAUUCUAAACAUAUCUCCACAUUUAUCAUGCUGCACGAGAAAAAGCAGACCAAAAGGGGCAAAAAUGAGAAAAAAAAUCAGGCAAGCAAGUAACAAAAAAUGUGAAAAUACUAUAUUCUGAUCCACAUUCAGUCCCCAUAUUCCUCUCUCUGAAUGCAGAUGGCUCUCUCCAUUACAAGACUACUGGAAUUAGCCUGAAUUCCUUCAUCGUUGAAAAUGUCAAAAAGUCCAUCACAAUUGUGAGAUCAUCACAUAAUCUUCUUGUAGCUAUGUAAAAUGUUUUUUUAGUUCUAUUUAUUUCACUUGGCACCAGUUCAUGUAAGUCUCUCCAGGCCUUUCUGAAAUCACCUGCUGAUUGUUUCUUAUAGAACAAUAAUAUUCCAUAACAUUCAUAUACCAUAACUUAUUCAGCCAUUAUAUGAGUCCUUUUCACCGUUUUAUGCUCUCUUUAGAAUUCAGAUCCAGUAAAGAUACUGCUAGAUCAAAGGGUAUGCACAGUUUUAUAGCCCUUUGGGCAUAGCCAAACAAGUUGUCUUUAAAAAUGGUCAGAUAAGGGCAGCUAGGUGGUGCAGUGACAGAGCACCAGUCCUGAAGUCAGGAAAACCGGAGUUCAAAUCUGCCCUCAGACACUUAACACUUCCUAGCUGUGUGACCCUGGGUAAGCCACUUAACCCCAAUUGCCUUAGCAACAUAAUAAAAUUAAAAUGGUCAGGCAGGGAGUUUCUCUUUAACCUGCCUGCUCUUUCCUCUUGUAACCAUACUGAAAACCAUAGUUCACCUAUGGUGUGGCUGACAUGAACUAAUUUGGGAGAUGCUAUGGAGUGGGAUACCUUUACUACUUUUUUUGCCCCUUGGCUUCCAAGUUUCUGUAGAGGGCUGAAACUCUCGAGUUGUUGCACUGAGGUAGGUUCAUGCACUUAGAGCUCAUUACUGAUUGGACAAUACUCUAUGGGCAUAUGCUUGGAAAAUGGUCCUUCCCACUAUCCUGUGCUGGCUCAAUGAUUGGUGUAUACAGAGCAUUGUAGGAGGGAGUAGGGGGUGGAGUAAGACGAGCCAGGGUCACUUUAGCGGUAGACAAGGACAAAGAAGGUUGCAGAGAUUCUGCUUCCAUCCCAUUCACUUCUAUCCCUAAAGACCAAGAAUAAAGACUAAGGACUUUUGCUUAUCCUGACUCCGGCCAAUUCUGGGGUGUCCUGGGUGCUAGUGCAGUUGUCACAAGUUUCUUUUGGUCUGGUUCUGUUUGUCUGCAGUUUCAGAUGCCAUUGGUAAACUCAACCCAGUCAAGAGUUUGAGUCACAGAGAUCUUGGAACCAAGUUUUCUGGGAGAAAGUUGCAGUCAGCCAGUCCAUCAAGGAAACCCUGAGAAGUUGAGAUGUUCAGGCUUGUAGAGGGCCAGGAAGUAAGAUUCAAAUACUUUAGGGUUGAAGUGAUCCUGGAUUAGAUUCUGCUUAUUCUACAAACAGUCUAACUAUACUAUAAAAAGUCUAACUUUUGGUCUUGGACUAUGCUCUACAGGAAUGAAGCUAAACUGAGUUAAUUCCCUUUUCCCUUCUGGGAGAGUAAGGUGGUAUUAAGGAAAAUUAAGCUCUACUUGUUGGGGAAUAAGUUUGUAUAUUUGUGAUUUAAUCUUUGAAGUAAAUACUCCAUCGUAAGAUGUGGGUCAUAUGAUACUACAGUCAGAGGGAUUCAGAUCCAUUCAAAUAGUCAUCAUUGCAAAAAUCUUCACUGGAGAACCACAAGGGAUCAGGCCUGUGCUGUUCUACAGCUUUGCCUUAGAUCAAGGGACAGAUAUGAUAUGAUCAUGAAAUUUGCAGUAUAAUGAAGAGUGGAGUGACAUGGUUAGAUGUGUGCGAAAAAAAAAAACUAUAUAUUGAUAGCUGUGUGGGGAAUGGAUUAGACUGGGGAAGAGAGUUGAAGACAGGGAGACCAAUUAGGUCAUUGCGAAAGUCUAGGUGAGAGGUAAUAAGGUGGUGUCUAUGUGAGCAGAGAGUAAGGGUUAGAUAAUGAGGAGUUAGGUGGCAACUCAAUAUAUAUCUAUAUAUAUAUAGAGAGAGAGAGAGAAGUUGAAGUUAAUGCCACAUAGAUUAUGAACAUGAGUCUGAAGGAUAGGAGUACCUUCCACAGAAGUAUGAAAGCUUAAAAUUGGGGUAGAUUAUGUGAGAUAAAUGUAUUUUGUUUUGGACAUGUGUUUGAAAAGAAUUUACGACAUCCAGUUUGAAAUGUUCAAUAGGCAUUUGAUGACGUGGAACUGAAGCUCAGGAGAAAAUGUGACUGGACAUAUUGAUCUUUGUAUGAAUCAUUCAUGGAAGCCAACAAAGUUAAUCAAAAGAAUACAGAGAAAAGGAUAAAGGUUAGAGGAUUGGUGAACAGCCAUAAUCAGGAUCAUGAAAUGGAUCAGGAACCAUGAUAGGAGAUUUGAAAAGGAGCAGCCAGAUAGGUAGUGUCAUAAAAAUCUAAAGGAGUGUUAGGUUACAGUAGUAAAUUAUAUCAAAUGAAGCAGAUAGACGAACUUAGGGCUAAGACAAUAAAAUUUGUCAAUUGGGCAACUAGGUAGUACAGUAGAUAGAGCAUCAGACCUGAAGUCAGAAGGACCUGAGCUCAAAUCUGGCCUCAAACACUUACCACGUCCUAGCUGUGUGAUCCUGGGCAAAUCAUUUAACCCCCAUUGUCUCAGCAAAACAAUUUUUAAAAAAAAAAUUUGGCAAUUAAGAAGUCAUUAAUUAUUUUGGAGAAAAUUUCAAUAGAGUAAUGAGAUUGGGAGGCAAAUUUCAAAAUGCUGAAGAGAUGAAAGGAAGGGUAUGAAAUGAAUACUAAACAACUUUUUCUAGUUUAGUUGAGAUAGGGGGAAAUAUAGGACAAUAUAUGAGGAUAUAAGGUCAACAGAACAAUUUUUGUAUUCCACAUAAUUUCAAGGGCAUUAAUAAAUUAAACCAAUAAGAAUAUACACACACAGAACAAAUUUAUCUCUGUUCUUAAAAUGAUCUCAUCAUUAUUCAAUUGAACAUUAUUCAACCCUAAAACAUGUCUCUCAUAUGCCAUAAUGAAACAUAAAUAGUAUUUAAGACAAGUUGAUAAGAAUACCUAGACAUUUUAUGAAAAUCUAUGCUGGUGUAGCAGAGGUAUAAUUGGAAGUGAAUGAGAUUUAAAAAAGCAAAUGGUAUUGAUAAAAGAUCUGAUUCUAUACCGAUUCCAAAAUUACUUGGCAUGUAUUUCUUUCCUGCAGCUUGCAGAAAUUUUCCUAUUUUUUAUUAUACUGUUAGGAUUAUAUCUAAACAAGCACAAUUUUGGCAGUCUAAAUUUUUUCUCUUUACCCAGCCAUUCAAAUUUAGGGUUUCAGAUAACUUUUAAGUUGUAGAGGUCUAGAUCUGCAUUAUGAGGUGGGAGUUUUUUUAUCUGAAAGUCUUUACACCAAUAAAAUUAAAGGAUGGAUUGCUAUACUUAUCCUUAUCUAUUUUUUUAUUUUCUAAUUCUACAAGAUUUUCUUGAUUGGAAUUUUGAAUUUUCUAAAUUUUCCAUAUUUCAGCAAGUCAGAAAUUUAAUGCUUCUUGAUCUAUUAAACUUAUCAUUUAUAUUUGUAUUUCUUACAACUCUUUUAAUUUUUUUAUCUGAUAUACAUUAUGUACAAUAUUACUUUCCAGUGUUAUUUGCCAAUUGCUUCUCUUGAUUUUUUUUCAGGUUUUCUAUUAUAUUGUCCAACUUUUUUAUGUGGUGGGAGUGAUAUGGACCCAUUAUUUGAUCACUGUAGAGAAUUCCUUCCACUAAAAAUGGGCAACUCAUCCAUAACUUAUAUUCUUAAAGUCAUCUAGGGUAAAAGGUUUAAAUUUUAACUUACCCAUAGUCAUAACAUAGUGCAUCAAAACAAAGGCUUGAAACUAGGUCUUCCUAAGCCCAAAGUUAAUCUUGUUACUACACGUCUUGAACCAGAUUAAAAAUGUAGUUGGGAAAUAUUUUAACAACAAAAAUAACUCAAUAGGACACAGCUCAUGUUAAUAUGUUUUUUUCUUGCAUAGGCAUCCAUGACAUGCAGCUGCAGAAAUCCUUAUGUACCAUUUAGUGAUCUUAGCUGUCCCAAACCUAAAACUAUAUUAUAAAGCAAUGGUCAUCAAAAGCAUUUUGUACUGGCUAAGAAAUAGAGUAAGUGACCAAUGGAAUAGGUUAGAUUUACAAGAUGUAGUAGUCAGUGACUAUAGAAAUAUCCUAUUUGAAAACGACAAAAACCCCAUUUUCUGGCAUAAGAAUUCUCUAUUUGACAAAAACUGGUGGGAAAAAUUAGAAAACAGUAUGACAGAAACUAGGCAAUGACCAGCACCUAACCCUCUAUACCAAGAUCAAGUCGAUAUGAGUUCAUGAUUUAGACAUAAAGAGCG